rnacentral:rRNA from 1 species
UGGUGGAGCGAUUUGUCUGGUUAAUUCCGAUAACGAACGAGACUCUAGCCUACUAAAUAGUUUGGCGCUGGCUACAUGGAUACCUUGAAGCGCGUUGGUCAGUGAACGACGGCGAAACUACUAUGUAAUGUAAUGUAGUUGGAUCGUCGCGGGCAAAACUUCUUAGAGGGACUGGUGGUUUUAAGCCACACGAGAUUGAGCAAUAACA